GACGAACGCUGGCGGCGCGCCUAACACAUGCAAGUCGAACGAGUGAGAGAGAGCUUGCUUUCUCGAGCGAGUGGCGAACGGGUGAGUAACGCGUGAGGAACCUGCCUCAAAGAGGGGGACAACAGUUGGAAACGACUGCUAAUACCGCAUAAGCCCACGGGUCGGCAUCGACCAGAGGGAAAAGGAGCAAUCCGCUUUGAGAUGGCCUCGCGUCCGAUUAGCUAGUUGGUGAGGUAACGGCCCACCAAGGCGACGAUCGGUAGCCGGACUGAGAGGUUGAACGGCCACAUUGGGACUGAGACACGGCCCAGACUCCUACGGGAGGCAGCAGUGGGGAAUAUUGCACAAUGGGGGAAACCCUGAUGCAGCGACGCCGCGUGGAGGAAGAAGGUCUUCGGAUUGUAAACUCCUGUUGUUGAGGAAGAUAAUGACGGUACUCAACAAGGAAGUGACGGCUA
rnacentral:rRNA from 1 species